AAAGGGAAACAACCCAGACCGCCAGCUAAGGUCCCAAAGUUGUGGUUAAGUGGUAAACGAUGUGGGAAGGCUUAGACAGCUAGGAGGUUGGCUUAGAAGCAGCCAUCCUUUAAAGAAAGCGUAAUAGCUCACUAGUCGAGUCGGCCUGCGCGGAAGAUGUAACGGGGCUCAAACCACACACCGAAGCUGCGGGUGUCACGCAAGUGACGCGGUAGAGGAGCGUUCUGUAAGCCUGUGAAGGUGAGUUGAGAAGCUUGCUGGAGGUAUCAGAAGUGCGAAUGCUGACAUGAGUAACGACAAUGGGUGUGAAAAACACCCACGCCGAAAGACCAAGGGUUCCUGCGCAACGUUAAUCGACGCAGGGUUAGUCGGUUCCUAAGGCGAGGCUGAAAAGCGUAGUC
rnacentral:rRNA from 1 species